rnacentral:sRNA from 1 species
GUGGUGAAAAGGUGACAGGGAGCUGCCCCUGCUCAAGAGCCGGUGGUUGGGGGUCUGAGAAGAAGUCACCACUAUGAAGUUAUUCGGCUUCGGGAGCCGCAGGGGCCAGACGGCGCAGGGCUCCAUAGACCAUGUCUACACGGGUUCCGGAUACCGAAUCCGGGACUCCGAACUGCAGAAGAUCCACAAGGCGGCUGUCAAGGGCGACGCCGCGGAGGUGGAGCGCUGCCUGGCGCGCAGGAGCGGAGACUGGACGCCCCGGACAAGCAGCACAGGCUGUCCAUUGCCAGGAAGAGGCUUGUGCUGUUAUUUUGCUGGAACAUGGCGCCAAUCCAAACCUCAAGGAUAUCUAUGGCAACAUUGCUCUCCAUUAUGCCGUGUAUAGUGAGAGCACCUCAAUGGCAGAAAUACUGCUUUUCCAUGAUGCAAAUAUUGAAGCACUGGACAAGGUAUAGAUCAAUCAACUUUCUUUCCAAAAUAUUUGUUUUAACAUUCACAUAGGUAAGGGUCAA